rnacentral:snRNA from 1 species
ACCCGCUGAGUUUAAGCA